GUUUAGAUACAGGGCAACAUGAAGAAAAAAAAACCGGGCCAAAAGGAGAUUUUGGCAUCUUUACGAAUCAUAGUCUUUACAAAUCAUAAUCCUGGGAGCUAGUUAGCUGAUCAGGAGCCUGAUUCUCGCAUUUGAGAUUUUUGAGUAAAGGCUGCAGUAAAAGAUUUUUGAUCGCAACUCAGACUUUUGAAGGAGGACGAGCAGGACAGUCAGCAUGCUCAGAUCCACAAGAAGCAGAGGCUAUAUGAGUUCUUCAGGUAGCAAUUUGUGUUAAGGAGAAACAAUUUCAAAAUUUUAGUAUUGAAGGUGAAUGUGAAAGUAUUUUCAACUUCUUCCAUGGGAAGAGUUCUCACAUCUCUUGGCGUCCUAAAGCAUGUCUCAGUGAAGCAAACACGAUAAUUAAUCUAUGUUUUAAUUUUUUGGGAUUUCAUUUUGUUCCUCGACUAGGAAAUAGGG